UACGAAGGGGGCUAGCGUUGUUCGGAAUUACUGGGCGUAAAGGGCUCGUAGGCGGCCAACUAAGUCGGACGUGAAAUCCCUCAGCUUAACUGGGGAACUGCGUCCGAUACUGGAUGGCUUGGAUUUGGGAGAGGGAUGCGGAAUUCCAGGUGUAGCGGUGAAAUGCGUAGAUAUCUGGAGGAACACCGGUGGCGAAGGCGGCAUCCUGGACCAAUAUUGACGCUGAGGAGCGAAAGCUAGGGGAGCAAACGGG
rnacentral:rRNA from 1 species